GAAAUAUGAGCUCGGUGGAUUGCCCUUGGUCCUGAAUCAAGUGGGAUUGAGGCAUUUCUGUUGUAUAACGAGCUCGAGAAAUACUACUGUGGAGAUAAGUGAAUAGGCUUAUUGAGGAGGUAGCAGUGGUGCAGGAGCAGCGGGCAAGAAGCCCGCAGGAUGAUUAGCUGGAGUAUUUGCAGUAUUUCGCAUUUUGGUGGCCACUGGGCCUAGGCUAGACUUAGGGCAUGAACAUUCAAUAUGUAUGUAGGAUGAGAUUCAUUGUCAUAUUUGUUCAUGUCAUUUUGCCUAAGUCUAGUACAUAUAUCAU